rnacentral:misc_RNA from 1 species
GCCAAAUCUGGCUUGUAAGAAGAGCCGAUCCACUGGAUCAUCGUCGACAAAGCGUUGGGGAAUCCGGGACCUUCUACGGAGAAGCCACAGCGACGGAAAACACUCGUACAUCCCCUUCACGCCGUCGACGAGUUCAAAUUCAACGAAGAAGGCUAAAGAAAUCAAAUCAGACACGAAAUCGAGGAAGGAAUUGAAGGAGAAGAAAG